CCUACGGGUGGCUGCAGUAGGGAAUAUUGGGCAAUGGGCGCAAGCCUGACCCAGCAACGCCGCGUGAAGGAAGAAGGCUUUCGGGUUGUAAACUCCUUUUCUCAGGGACGAAGCAAGUGACGGUACCCGAGGAAUAAGCCACGGCUAACUACGUGCCAGCAGCCGCGGCAAUCCGUAGGUGGCAAGCGUUAUCCGGAUUUACUGGGUGUAAAGGGCGUGUAGGCGGGACUGCAAGUCAGAUGUGAAAACCAUGGGCUCAACCUAUGGCCUGCAUUUGAAACGGGAGUUCUUGAGUACUGGAGAGGCAGACGGAAUUCCUGGUGUAGCGGUGAAAUGCGUAGAUAUUAGGAGGAACACCAGUGGCGAAGGCGGUCUGCUGGACAGCAACUGACGCUGAGGCGCGAAAGCGUGGGGAGCAAACAGGAUUAGAUACCCUAGUAGUC
rnacentral:rRNA from 1 species